GCGGCAGGCUUAACACAUGCAAGUCGAGCGCCCUUCGGGGAGCGGCGGACGGGUGAGUAACACGUAGGUAACGUACCUUCUGGAGGGGGAUAACCUCGGGAAACUGAGGCUAAUACCGCAUAUGCCCACUGGGUAAAAGCGUUAGCGCCAGAAGACCGGCCUGCGGCCCAUUAUUUAAUCCUAGUUGGUGAGGUAACGGCUCACCAAGGGUACGAUGGGUAGCUGAUCUGAGAGGAUGAUCAGCCACACUGGGACUGAGACACGGCCCAGACUCCUACGGGAGGCAGCAGUGGGGAAUAUUGGACAAUGGGCGAAAGCCUGAUCCAGCCAUGCCGCGUGUGUGAUGAAGGCCUUCGGGUUGUAAAGCACUGUCGGGGGGGAAGAAGAUCUGACGGUACCCCCCCA
rnacentral:rRNA from 1 species